CUUUCUCAUCUCUUUUCUUUUCCUGUUGUAAACACUAUUUUAGCCUUGGCAUAGUGCUUAGAUGAAAGUUACAUGCACAUUGUUUUGUUUGUGUAUUUUAGUUAAACUUAUUACUAUUAAGAAGGAAAUCUUAGUAGAUAUUACAUUUAAUUAUACAUAAUUUAGGGAUCAUUUGUCAAAGAAGUACCAUUUGAAGACCUUUUUUCUUGAAUUGGAAGUGGAAAUGUUAGUCAUGUAACACCUACUCCACCCUCCUACUUACAAAAGGAAAUGAAAUGUAAAUCUGUCUUCAGAAGAAACCGAGUCCUUUGUUGCUCCUGAUCUUAAUCUCGACUCACACCAUCAGAGUUAAAUAUGGAUCUGAAGGAAUGGCUCAAAAAGCUAACAGAAGAAUUUAAAAAAAGCCCACUGGCAGCUACUUUUUCUUUUGGAUUGAUCCAAGUGAUAUUUGAGAAGCUGGUGGAAGUGGAGUUUUCAUGCCCUUGUGACUCUGGGUACAACCAACUAUACACCUCAGCAUUUCUCUGGGUUCCAGCCGCUGUAGUUUUUUUGCUAUUAAUUAUGGUUAAAUUUCAGGAAAUACGUGAGUCAUGUAUAUCCGCCAUCCACGCCUUUAUUAACAUCUUGGUUUCAUCCAUAACAUGGCUGAUAAUAGUGUUUAUCGAUGGUCGUUAUUAUGCCUGCAUAGAGACCGACUGGUCAGGAAAGUAUGAAAUGAUUGAGAAUGCCGCACCCCAGAAAUGGUGUAAACCAGCCAACUCCUCUCAGGAGUUACUGGCCGAAACACAGAGAUGGUAUUCUAAAUCGCAGUUCAUUGGAAAUUUGAUGGCAUUUGUGUUGACCUUGCUGUAUCUGAUAUAUUGGGCUGGCUUCAAGUGCUGCUGCAAGGAACAAAAUCCGGAAACUCCAAGACAUGAAGAGAACGAGCCGAUUGAAACCUCAAGAUGUUGAAGAAAUUAGAAACAUUUGUAUGAUAUGCCAACUUUAAAAUAUUUGGUAUAGCUGUAAGUGUGUGCUUUACAUGUGAUAACAUUAACUGUUUGUUUAUAACUAUACAGCCCAAAAUUUGUCUUGCAGAAACACUUAUAGUAUUUCUGCUUUUUUUAUAAUUUUUUGUUAUAACUAUGAUAAUAAGGUUUUCGUUAUUUUUUUUAGAUGUUUUUCCUAUUAUGUAUUCAUAGGAAAAAGUACUAUUUUAAUUACUUGAUUGUAUAUUUUAAUUAAUAUAUAGGAUUUGUAUAUUUUAUCUGUACUCUUUCCAUAUUGUCCUAUUUUACAUAUGUAUGCAAGUCCAAAACAUAUAUAUUAUAUUCCAAGGAAGUGCAUUUUAUCAAACUACUGUUUGUCAUGCUCCCAUUUUUCUCCAAUAUGGUCAUUUAUCUUGCGAUAUUGUGGUGGUCAAACUAAAUGACUCAACACCGUUUCAUAAAAAGAAGAUAGAAAACUAUUAGUUAUGAAAAACUUUGUUAUUUUAAGAACAUGUGUGUAGCUGACGCAGAAAAAGGAUGUCUUAUUUUGUUAUUUUAUAGUGUUUACUAAGACUACAAGAUCUGUCAUGUUACUGACAUCUAUUAGCACAUUGGAGUACUGUGUUUAGAGCUGAACUUGCACUGAGCUCAUGUUCAAUUAAAACACUUGCUGCGAAAGACGGACAGAAGACAAAGACGGGUAGUUGGAGAUUUUGAUGCAAAAAACUGACAUAUGGUUGAAAAACUUCUCUUAAAUGUUUGGUCAGAAGUUUACGGAGCCCCUAAAGGGACAUGGAGGGGGGAAAAAA